rnacentral:misc_RNA from 1 species
UCUUACGCGUGAUCACUUCCGGUAUAAACAGAAAGAACGAGAAUGAUCACAGCUUUUUUAUAGAACGACAAUGGGCAUCAGUGACAUGUUCCACGACUUUUUCUUUGGUCCAGCAAAACCACCAGUACCAAACGAAGAUUCAAAUCCAGAGAGACAUCAGACACCUAACAUUCAGGAUGAAGAAGAUUUAAAUGUCAUUUUCUCAGAGAGUUUCGGUGACAUGCAGAAACACAUGGAAAUGAUGCAGAGAGAAAUGGAGGCCAUAUUUCGUGGUUUUGGGGGCAUGCAUAUCCCAUUUAAUGGUAUUCCUGGAGGGGUUCCAGAGAGUGAUAAUGCAAGGGGAGGUAACCCACGGGACUUCAUGCUUAAAGAACCAGAAUCUUCACCUGACAACCAAGUAACUCCGAUGCCACCAAGACAUGGAGGGUUUCAUCACUUUUUUGAUGAUUUUUUCCACAAGUUUGGUCCCCAAGAACCAGUCAUCAAAGAAGAUAAAGAUUUGGAUAAAGAAGGAGACAAUAUUGACCUUUCACAAGUUUUCACAAACCCUAGAGCUGGGUUGGUUCCCUCAACCCCCCAGAGAGGGGGAUUCUUUAGCAGGGGGAGCAGUGUUUCGGUCACCACAAUCAGAGGGGCUGAUGGGAAAAUAGAACAAAAGAAGACAGUCAGAGACUCCUCGGGUAGAGAGGAAACCACGGUGACAAGGACCAUGGGGGACAAGUCCCACACGGUGACCACUAGAGUGGACCAAUCAGGAUUCCCAGAAACUGUAGAAACAUUCACCAAUAUUGAUGAAGGACAAAAAGAAAGAUUUUGACAGCAACUGGAAACACCCAUCGACCUCACCCACACAGCCAACGUUACUACCAGAGAGCCCCCCAUUUACAACACAACAGAUAGAUGGAAGUUCCCUGCUAGACAGAUUCUUUAACUUUAGACUAUUUGGACCAAAAGAUGAUAAUUAAAGUACACCGUGUGCAUUCUAGUGGAGAUAUCUGAGCACACUUCAGAUUUUUAAUUUUUUUUUGAGGUUGACUGUUGUUGAAUAUCCAUUGUCUUUCAAAAUACAUGGUGAUAGAGGAGGAAAUAAUUUGGAACCUUUCAAUUUAUACAUGUUUCAGUAUAAUCUCAUUCCUUCUUCAACAUCAAAGGUUGGGAAAGCCAAAGAUCAUAUUUAUUUUUACAUCAGGAAAGAGGAUUUUUUUUUUAUCAAGUGUUAUUGUUUUAUCAACAGAAUGACUUAAAUGUGUAUGUUAUUUCAUGUUUAUGAAAUUCUUUGUCUUAAACACAGUAAAGUUUUGUUAUCUUGUUCUGAAUAUACAUGAUUUUCAAACAU